rnacentral:rRNA from 1 species
UACGAAGGGGGCUAGCGUUGUUCGGAAUUACUGGGCGUAAAGCGCGCGCAGGCGGUCUUCCAAGUCAGUGGUGAAAGCCCGGAGCUCAACUCCGGAACUGCCAUUGAAACUGUUAGACUUGAGGAUGAGAGAGGUGAGUGGAAUUCCCAGUGUAGAGGUGAAAUUCGUAGAUAUUGGGAAGAACACCAGUGGCGAAGGCGGCUCACUGGCCCGGUACUGACGCUGAGGUGCGAAAGCGUGGGGAGCAAACAGG